UACAGAGGAGCCAAGCGUUGUCCGGAUUGACUGGGCGUAAAGCGUGCGCAGGCGGUGAUGUAAGACAGGUGUGAAAUCCCCGGGCUUAACCUGGGAACUGCAUUUGUGACUGCAUCGCUGGAGUGCGGCAGAGGGGGAUGGAAUUCCGCGUGUAGCAGUGAAAUGCGUAGAUAUGCGGAGGAACACCGAUGGCGAAGGCAAUCCCCUGGGCCUGCACUGACGCUCAUGCACGAAAGCGUGGGGAGCAAACAGG
rnacentral:rRNA from 1 species